UACGAAGGGGGCUAGCGUUGCUCGGAAUCACUGGGCGUAAAGCGCACGUAGGCGGAUCUUUAAGUCAGGGGUGAAAUCCCGGAGCUCAACUCCGGAACUGCCUUUGAUACUGAGGAUCUUGAGUCCGGGAGAGGUGAGUGGAACUGCGAGUGUAGAGGUGAAAUUCGUAGAUAUUCGCAAGAACACCAGUGGCGAAGGCGGCAUCCUGGACCGGUAUUGACGCUGAGGCGCGAAAGCCAGGGGAGCAAACGGG
rnacentral:rRNA from 1 species